GAUGAACGCUGGCGGCGUGCCUAAUACAUGCAAGUCGAGCGAACGGACGAGAAGCUUGCUUCUCUGAUGUUAGCGGCGGACGGGUGAGUAACACGUGGAUAACCUACCUAUAAGACUGGGAUAACUUCGGGAAACCGGAGCUAAUACUGGAUAAUAUUUUGAACCGCAUGGUUCAAAAGUGAAAGACGGUCUUGCUGUCACUUAUAGAUGGAUCCGCGCUGCAUUAGCUAGUUGGUAAGGUAACGGCUUACCAAGGCAACGAUGCAUAGCCGACCUGAGAGGGUGAUCGGCCACACUGGAACUUAGCCACGGUCCAGACUCCUACGGGAGGCAGCAGUAGGGACUCUUCCGCAAUGGGCGAAAGCCUGACGGAGCGACGCCGCGUGAGUGAUGAAGGUCUUCGGAUCGUAAAACUCUGUUAUGAGGGAAGAACAUAUAUGUAAGUAACUGUGCACAUCUUGACGGUACCUGAUCAGAAAGCCACGGCUAACUACGUG
rnacentral:rRNA from 1 species